rnacentral:rRNA from 1 species
AUUGAACGCUGGCGGCAGGCUUAACACAUGCAAGUCGAGCGGGGUGAUGGUGCUUGCACUAUCACUUAGCGGCGGACGGGUGAGUAAUGCUUAGGAAUCUGCCUAUUAGUGGGGGACAACAUCUCGGAAGGGAUGCUAAUACCGCAUACGUCCUACGGGAGAAAGCAGGGGAUCACUUGUGACCUUGCGCUAAUAGAUGAGCCUAAGUCGGAUUAGCUAGUUGGUGGGGUAAAGGCCUACCAAGGCGACGAUCUGUAGCGGGUCUGAGAGGAUGCUCCGCCACACUGGGACUGAGACACGGCCCAGACUCCUACGGGAGGCAGCAGUGGGGAAUAUUGGACAAUGGGGGGAACCCUGAUCCAGCCAUGCCGCGUGUGUGAAGAAGGCCUUAUGGUUGUAAAGCACUUUAAGCGAGGAGGAGGCUCUUUUGGUUAAUACCCAAGAUGAGUGGACGUUACUCGCAGAAUAAGCACCGGCUAACUCUGUGCCAGCAGCCGCAGUAA